GUUGUCAGACGCUGGAAUGGGUGGUCUCCCACUACACACCACCAUCUUUCCUCUGCUAAGGAAGCUCGGGGCUCCGCGGCUCCCACUCGCUGGGCGGGCUCAGGCCAACAGGGAAUAAGGAAAACAAGAAGCCAAAUAAUUUGAAGAAUGUUUCCAAAAGUCAAUUUGGCUAUCAUACACUGGGUAUGGAAGAGCAUGAGAAAACCCUAUCUUUUAUUUUUUCUCAUACUGCUCCUAACAACUCAUUUGGAAGGCAAAAAGGAUAAUCAAUUCAUUUGGAAACCAGAUUGCUUUAGGCUCCUGUUGCAGAUGCUUCCAUUAGCCAUUGAUGUCCCAGAGAUGCCUACAAAAGACUUUUCUCCUCACCCACUGCCUCAGUGACUGUCUCUCAAGAAGUUAACUGGGACUUCUCUUUCCUUGACAUUGAAAACAAUUUCAAGUAUCUGAAUUGCAAACUGGAUUGUUCUUUUAUAGUCACAGCAUGACUAGUCUCUUCCAUAAAUACCCAAAUCUUUCCUAUGUAGGGGAAUUUCAUAUUAUCUAACAAUUUUGUUAGUCCUUUCAGACUGAUUAAGGAUUUACAAGAUGUAGUUUAAUGCCUUUGAUUGAUUCAUUAAUGUUUUAUUAGCAAGUUCUCAUGUGUGUGAUGUAGUUACUUUAAAUGGAAUUAUCUCUCAUCAAAAUGGGGGUGAUAAUACCUGUCCUGAUAUCCUACCCAGGGUUGCUGUACAGAUCGCAU
rnacentral:lncRNA from 1 species